GCUAAACAUCUAGCUCACCUCUUUCAAAUGAAUCUACUUACCUAUUUUUUAUAAACUAAAACAUUCUUACAUUUUAGUACAGGAGAUAGAAAAAUUUUAUGAAGCAAUAAAAACAGUACCGUAAGGGAAAGAUGAAAUAAAAAUGAAAACUUAUAAGCAUAAAAAAAUAGAGACUAACCCUCGUACCUUUUGCAUCAUGGUUUAACUAGUCUGACCAAGCAGAAAGCAUUGUAGUUUGACCCCCCGAAACUAAGCGAGCUACUUCGGAGCAGCCUUAUGGGCACACCCGUCUCUGUUGCAAAAGAGUGGGAUGACUCCAAAGUAGUGGCGACACACCUAACGAGCUUAGUGAUAGCUGGUUACUCGAGAAAAGGAUUUUAGUUCCGCCCAAAGCUUAUUCAACUAAUGUUCAAACAACGAUUCAAGCUUUAGAGUAAGUCAAAUAAGGUACAGCCUAUUUGAUACAGGAAACAACCUAAACUGACGGGUAAGACAACCCAUACCUUACUUAAGUAGGCCUAAGAGCAGCCACCUAAAAAAGCGUCACAGCUUAGCUAAAAUAACCUUCUAAUCCCACAUUAGAUCCCUAACCCUCUACCCCUAUCGAGUAAUUCUAUAUUUUAUAGAAAGUUUUAUGUUAAAACUAGUAACAAGAAACUCGACUUUCUCUUAAGUGCAAGCAUAGUUCAGACAGGACAAACCACUGAUAAUUAACGCCUCUGAGCAUAUAUUAGUAACCAAACAAGAAAAACCUUAUAUUUAAUACGUUAAUCUGACACAAGAGCACUCCAAGAAAGAUUUAAAGAAAAAGAAGGAACUCGGCAAAUAUUAGCCCCGCCUGUUUAUCAAAAACAUCGCCUCUUGCCCAAAAUAAGAGGUCCAGCCUGCCCAGUGACACAUGUUCAACGGCCGCGGUAUCCUAACCGUGCGAAGGUAGCGUAAUCACUUGUUCUUUAAAUGAGGACUAGUAUGAAUGGCAUCACGAGGGCUAUACUGUCUCCUUUUUCUAAUCAGUGAAACUAAUCUCCCCGUGAAGAAGCGGGGGUAAAACUAUAAGACGAGAAGACCCUAUGGAGCUUUAAAUUUUUACUCAAAUACCCUCCACUCCCUUAACUUCCUAGUAUCACAUUCUAUUUUGGUAUAAUGAGGUAAAAUUUUAGGUUGGGGUGACCGCGGAGUACAAAAAAACCUCCACAUUGAAACAGGCCUAUAAGCCUCAAGAACUGGAUUACGAUCCUACUCAUUAAAAAAUUAACAUCUAUUGACCCAAAUUUUUGAUCAACGAACCAAGUUACCCUAGGGAUAACAGCGCAAUCCCCUUUAAGAGUCCCUAUCGCCAAGGGGGUUUACGACCUCGAUGUUGGAUCAGGGUAUCCCAGUGGUGCAGCCGCUACUAAUGGUUCGUUUGUUCAACGAUUAAAACCCU
rnacentral:rRNA from 1 species